UACGUAGGCAGCAAGCGUUGUUCGGAAUUACUGGGCGUAAAGAGUGUGUAGGCGGUGCUCCAAGUCUGGUGUGAAAUCUCCCGGCUUAACUGGGAGGGUGCAUUAGAAACUGGAAUGCUAGAGGAUGGGAGAGGUAAGCGGAAUUCCUGGUGUAGCGGUGAAAUGCGUAGAUAUCAGGAGGAACACCUGCGGUGUAGACGGCUUUCUGGACCAUUGCUGACGCUGAGACACGAAAGCGUGGGUAGCAAACAGG
rnacentral:rRNA from 1 species